AAAAAAAAAAAAAAACCAAAAGUAAAAACACAUGUCAGGCAGACUCCAGAGACUAGAGGAAAAGUGGAGAGGAGGAUCAACACUCAAUUUGACCCAUUUCUCUGUUUCUCCACCUGAAACACUUUCCUCUCUCCUCCCCUUUUUCCUUGCACCUGUCUUCAUUGUAGAUGGGCUCAUACAUCCUUGUCCCUUGUCUCCUGUCACUACGUAAAGUCAGGGAAAAGCUGGAAAGCUGUGCAGACCCCUGGACUUUUCUCUGCCUUGCACUGGGGCCUAUGCUGUAGUCCCCAGAUGCCUUUCUCAGCUGAGUCUGGGCUUAACUGGCCAAGAGUCUCUUGGUUGAGAGAUGGGUAUGCUAGUGGAAAGGAAGAGGCUGGGUGUUGCCCCUGCUUCACUGCAGCCUUUCCAGCUCAGCUGGUGAGCUGGCCCCUGACCUUGAGCAGCACUGCCUCAUACCCCUGCCAUCCAGCUUGGGAUGGCCCUGGCUUUCCUUCUUGUGAUAAUCCCUGGGUUGCUUUAUUCUAUUUGGCUUCUCUAAUCUUCCAUCACUUAUGAGGCUAAUCCCCUGGAUUCAAUUCCUCCUGUUUUAAACACUGAAAGUGGCUUCUGCUUCUCUUGAAUGACACAGGGAUAUACUUUCAAACAAUAGACAGCCAUGCCUCCCACAUGUGCCACCUUAAAAACAGUGCAAGGAGGGAUUCAAAUUUUGAAGCAUCUGCCUUAAAGAGGAGUUCCAUUGCAGCUCGCUAACAGUAAAAAAUUUAUUUGAAUAGCAGUCAGAGUGUUUACCAUCAGAAAGGUAAUUCUGAAAGAAUCAUCAUCAGAUUCUUUAAAAGUUUUGAUAAUGAAUUAAGACCACAUUAUCCUCCACAACUUUUCUAUAAGGAUGCAUCAAUAUUUAAUUUCCUUCUCAAAACCACAUUAGGAUUAACAUUACAAAGAAACCAGGCUUUUGUUCCAAGGGAAAAUGCAUCUCUGUGCUGUAGUGGUUUUAUCAGAUAUCUCUCUUAGCAUAAUACAGUGAAGGGGAGUAUAUUUGUACUGACAACAGAUUCUUUUUCUGAAUUUCUGCCCCCUUGCUACUUUUACAAACUAAGCAAGAAUCAUUUUACCAGCAGGAAAACACAGUCCAUAAAACUUUGCAGCAGCAGGAUACAUUCACUAAUAUUUGGCUAAUCUUUGGGUGAUUUCAAGAGAAGGUAAUGGAAGAAUUUUAAUCGUUAGCAGAGAGCAUGUGAACCUCUCUUUUUAUAACCUGGGUCACCUAACACUUUGCAAGAUGUCAGGGUACAAGCACUUAAUCACAGCAUCCAGAAUCUCUUCAGUGUUCUAUUCAGAACCAAUUUGUGUCUGCUUCCUAAGUGCUAAGCUUGAACAGAUAUGCUCUUAAUAAUUAAUCUGAUCCUUAAAGUGUUUUGAUUUUUCAGAUUCAUACUCAGCGAGUAUAUAUUUGGCAACUCUAAGCCUAUCUUGGCAGGCUUCACCUUCCCAGAUGAGGCGUGUUUAGCCUGAACUAAAAAGCUCCCACCUGCCAGUCCCCAGGCGUGCUGUCCCUCGCCUCCUGUGUGCCUUUGCUUGUGCUGGUGCCUCCCUCCCUUUACCCUAUGACUUGGCCCUCUUUUCUGAAGAUUCAGUCAUUGCCUCCUCCAAGAAGCCUUCCUGGACUUCUCUCCUGACUCCAGGCUGACUAAGAGCCUCUUCUCAGCUUCCUGGCAGCUCCUCUGCUUUCUUCUACACAUAAUUCCAAGGUGAUCUCUUGGUGGGUCUGCAGCUACCUGUGAGCUCCAAGCUCCAGCAGAGCAUGGACUGUUUCUGGGUGGGAGCCACAGUCUGGAAGUAGCUCUUGGGCCCUCUUCCCAGAGCCCAGCCGAGCUGAACGGAGCAGAGUGGUUGAUCAUUUAUGAAAUCUCGAUCCUGCCUCUGGCAAAACUGCAAAAGGCAGCAGUUCCUCCAAGCCUGCGCUCCAUGACCAUUUCAGGACACAGGGGAACGUCCCUCUGGUUUCUGUAAGAUCGCCUGUAUGCCGAUGUUGCUUGCAUUCCUCCUUUGCUUUUUGGCGUUCUUCCUGAGAGCAUUACACAAGCUCCCCGUCCUCCCCCCAGACUGUACCUCCAGCUCUGAAACGCUAUGAAUAAAGAAAGACAGCCAGCCAGGGCGGUAUCUUGUUACUAAUUCAACACGCGCAUACCUUUCCUGUGAGCCCUGCAGACUUGCAUUUUCUUGAGAAUGGCAAAGCCAAACAGGCCUGUCCUCUUCCUGACAGAAAAAGACAGGUCUCAGAAACCCGAAAGGGCUUUGCGAGCUCAGUCAGGCUUGCCCAUCUUUAAUGGAAACGGAAAGGAUCAGAGCAGCCAGAUCUGGCUGGGGACAGGUCCCCCACUGUUUCCUGUGGGUGACCUCAGGUCAUGUGCUUCCUGUGACACCCCCCCCCCAGGCCAGUUCUUAACCUCUGAUAUCCAUGAGGAUGCGGGAUCAAGCCCUGGUCUCACUCAGUGCGUUAGGGAUCCCACGUUGCCACAAGCUGGGGUGUGGGUUACAGGCGUGGCUUGGAUCUGGCGUUGCUGUGGCUGUGGCGUAGGGUGGCAGCUGUAGCUCGGAUUUGACCCGUAGCCUGGGAACUUCCAAAUGCCACGGGUGCAGCCCU
rnacentral:lncRNA from 1 species